GGCAACGUGGCAGAGUGGUUAACGCGUGCGACUAGAAAUAUACAUGAUAUGUUAUCUUGCAAUCGCAUCCCUUCGGGGUCACAGGUUCGAGUCCUGUCGUUGUCG